UCCUUUACUAUCCAUAAGGUAUGCUCUUGAUAUUACAUCUUCUGGCCUUGAAGGAGUAUUAGAUUAAGGGCCCAUUUGCUUGUGGCAUCAAAAUCUGAAAUGAAGAAUGGAUUGGUAAACAGAAUGGUAGAUUAGAUUGCCUUGCAUGUUUGGUUCGUAGUUCACCAUGUAAUUGGAAUUUGAUUCCUUUGCUGACUAUUGGGUGAUUUCAAAUCUCAUCAUCCACUAUCUAAUCUGAUGUUUGGUAUAUUUUACAUGGUAAUGAGGCUUUGCUUGUGUGCUUAAAAAUUUCCCAAUGAUUGAGAUACUAUUUGGAUGUUUUGUUAUGAUAAAUUAUUCAUAUUUUUCUGUGGCAAUGCAAGAUCUACAAUGUUGGUGAUAAAAUGGUGAAUAAGACAUUAUAUGGGCACAAAAAAAAAGACAGAUUUUUUUUUCCUUUCCUUUGGAAUAUUGAAAAAAUUGGGAUGGCCAAUGAGCACAACCAUGCAAAAAGAAUGGCAUGAAAUUGGAAGUUGUCUGAAAUGAAGGUACACAUAAAAUUACUUUAUGCAUAUGCUGGACAAAUUGGAUUCAAUAGAUA
rnacentral:misc_RNA from 1 species